GGGUUGCCGGAGCUGGCAUUGUCAAAAAUGGUUUGGUAAAGGAAGUCAGAGGGGGAGGGUUGGAGAGCUGGCCAAGACCAAAUAAAAAGUGAGGUACCAGAUAAUUUAUUCGGACUCUUUGUUGACCAUCGGUGGAUCAUCACCUAAGGAAGACCCCUCCUUGGCCGUCAUCAAGAGGGCUGGAAUCAGCAAACUUUUCUUCAAUUAGAACGAAGGAAUCUGGGAGAUUAUUCGCUGUCAAGAAGACUCAAGGCAAGAGGAGUUUCACAAAGGAUUAUCAAUUUCCCCACUGCAGUGAAGGAAUUGUUCUCUGACAAUUUAACAAGUUUGCCAGGCCCAGAAAAAGGAACUGUGAAUUGGGCGAGGUCCUCCGGGACUUUGUACGGAGUCAGGGGACUCACCCCUCUCAGGACCGGCCUGAAAAGAGGAAAGGUCAGCUAAGGCCAAGCUGCCAACCCCUCCAGCUCUCUCACCAAAAUAUGCACCCAUCUUAGUGACCAGCUUCAGCAUUCAUUAUGGGAAUCAAGCAGAUCUGUGGAGGAAAAAUUCAGUGUGAAAAAGCUUCAUGUUGUUACUGAACACAUGAUGAAGCAUCAACUGAAUUAAAGUUAGCAUCAAUGGUUUAACACACUGAAUCAGCAGGUUAGUUAUUUACAGUGUGUUACAGGGCUGUUGUGUUGGAUUGCUUUGUAUUGUACAGGUCUGACUGUGUCCACACUCUGUGUUCAAGCUUCAGUAAAUUUAAAGUCUGUUUCACGUCUCAUUAAAAGUUCACUUCAGAAAAA